CAAAACACGUCCCAGAGCAUCCCCAUGACUUACAGUGGGUGAUGUUUGUCCCUCCAGGCCUUGCAGAGCCCGUGCCUGGUUUUGCACCGAUGGACGAUCUGGGUUUCCUGUCUGGGGACACCGUGGUGGUUGUUGGUAAAGGUGUUUUUGGGAGCCCCCCUGCCCGUGCUCACAGCCAGUCCCUGCCCUGUGUGGCCAAUGGAGAUGACCAGGGGGUCAGGGAGGAGACUGAGCCAUCCCCAGGGAUCCCUGGGAGAAGCUUCCAGCAGAACAGUGCUUCCCAUGUCCAUGCUGACAAGGACAGAGAGGUGAGAACUGCAGGGCUCUGAUCCCAUCUCAUCCUGCUCUUAGGGGUGUGAGUCCAGCUGGACACAGUCACAGGCUCUGUGUCAGGGGAACAAGAGCUGCAUUAAACAGCCCAGACCAUCCAGCUGCUGCUCCCUGAUUUUCCUUUUGGUUCCAUCUGGAUAUUUUACAAUGGCAAAUUGCCCCGUCAGAAGCUUCCCACUUAACUCAGAAAGAGUCUCUGGACAAGGGCUGCAGGAGGGAAUGGAGCUGGAAAACAUGCUCUGUGACUCCCACAGCACAUGGAGGUGUGGAAUGAGGGAAUGGAGCUGGAAAACAUGUUCUGUGACUCCCACAGCACAUGGAGGUGUGGAAUGAGGGAAUGGAGCUGGAAAACACGCUCUGUGACUCCCACAGCACAUGGAGGUGUGGAAUGAGGGAUGGGCUGGGUUGGAUCACGUCUUGUUUUCUCCAGGGGUCUAUUAAACUCCAUUCUUAGGAUAUUUUACAAACCAUCUGAAUAUCUGCCCAUAAUCUGCUGUUUGUUAAAUACUAUUUACAGCUGUGAAUGGAGUGAGAUUUACCUGAGUGAAGUGUGACAUGAAACUCAGUUCUGCAAGCCUUUAAAAUAACAUUUUACCAUGACUAAAACUUGAAGUUAAUGAUAAAAAGUGUCUGAAUUUUCCCAUUUCCACUGAAGAUGUGAAUCCUUGGGGGGGAUCAAAUUGAAAGGAGUAAAGGGAGAGAUGUAGUAAAAGUUGCUGAGACUCCUAAGGAGCAAAAAGUGUCAAACACAAGAGAGGGUCAGAUCCCACUGGUGAAAAUGCAGAUUUUCCAUGCUGACCUUGCCAACAUCAGGAACUGGGGGGUGAGUUAUUGGGUAACCUGUGCAUGAAUUUUUUGCAGAUAAAAGUGACCAUGUCAAAAUCUGCCCAGGAUAAGCUGAGGAGGAAGAGAAAAGAAGAAAAAGAACUCAAUCACAAAGAGCAUCAGGAAGGCAAAGACCUGGAAGGGAAGGAAGAGAUCCCUUGGGAAGGGCUUAGA
rnacentral:lncRNA from 1 species